rnacentral:rRNA from 1 species
UCUUUUAAUUGGAGACUGGAAUGAAAGGUUGAAUCUAAGAGGAAUGUUUUAUAAAAUUAUUUUGAAUUUAAUUUAAAAGUUAAAAAGCUUUUAUAAAUCUCUGGGACGAGAAGACCCUAGAAGCUUUGUAAGAAAAUGUAAAUACUUUUUAAUUGGGGCAAUUAGUUGAAGAUAAAAAUUUUUAACUUUAGAGAGUAAAGGAUUUAAGUUACUCUAGGGAUAACAGCGUUAUUUAAUUAGCGAGUUCUUAUUAAUAAUUAAGUUUGCGACCUCGAUGUUGAAUUAAAA